rnacentral:rRNA from 1 species
GACGAACGCUGGCGGCGUGCUUAACACAUGCAAGUCGAACGGAAAGGCCCUUCUUUUGUGGGGUGCUCGGGUGGCGAACGGAUGAGUAACAUGUGAGUAACCUGCCCUUGACUUUGGUAUAACUUCAGGAAACUGGGGCUAAUCCCGGAUGGGAGCUCCUGCUGCUUGGUGGGGGUUGGAAUGUUUCGGCGGUUGGGGAUGGACUCGCGGCUUAUCAGCUUGUUGGUGGGGUAGUGGCGUACCAAGGCUUUGACGGGUGGCCGGCCUGAGAGGGUGACCGGCCACAUUGGGACUGAGAUACGGCCCAGACUCCGACGGGAGGGAGCAGUGGGGGAUAUUGCACUAUGGGCGGAAGCCUGAUGCAGCAACGCCGCGUGGGGGAUGACGGCCUUCGGGUUGUAAACCGCUUUCGCCUGUGACGAAGCGGGAGUGACGGUAAUGGGUAAAGAAGCACCGGCUAACUACGUG